rnacentral:rRNA from 1 species
UUAAAUACGUGCAGUCGAGCGAAUCGAUGGGAGCUUGUCCCUGAGAUUAGCGGGCGGACGGGUGAGUAACACGUGGGCAACCUGCGUAAUAAGACUGGGAUAACUUCGGGAAACCGGAGCUAAUACCGGAUACGUUCUUUUCUCGCAUGAGAGAAGAUGGAAAGACGGUUUACGCUGUCACUUAUAGAUGGGCCCGCGGCGAUUAGCUAGUUGGUGAGGUAAUGGCUCACCAAGGCGACGAUGCGUAGCCGGCCCUGAGAGGGGGAUCGGGCCACACUGGGACUGAGACACGGCCCAAGACUCCCUACGGGAAGGCAGCAGUAGGGAAUUCUUUCCGCAUUGGACAAAAGCCUGACGGGAGCAAACGCCGCGUGAACGAAAGAAGGGCCUUCGGGUCGUAAAGGUCUUGUGGUUAGGGGAAGAACAAGUACCCAGAGUAACUGCUGGAACUUUGACGGGAACCUAACCAGAAAAGCCACGGCUAACUACGUGGCCAGCAGCCGCGGAAUUACGUAGGUGGCAAGCCGUUGUCGGGAAUUAUGGGGCGUAAAGCGCGCGCAGGGGGGUCCCUUAAAGUCUGAUGUGAAAGCCCCACGGUUCACCGGGGAGGGGCAUUGGAAACUGGGGGAACUUGAGUGCAGAAGAGGAAGGGGAAUUCCAAGUGUAGCGGUGAAUGCGUAGAGAUUUUGGAGGGAACACCAGUGGCGAAGGCCGACUUUUCUGGUCUGUAACUGACACUGAGGCGCGAAAGCGUGGGGCAGCAAACAGGGAUUAGAUACCCUGGUAGUCCACGGCGUCAACGAUGAGUGCUCAGUGCUAGAGGGUUCCGCUCUUUAGGUGCUGGCAGCUUAACGCAUAGGUCAUCA